rnacentral:misc_RNA from 1 species
AAAGUCGUAACAAGGUAACCGUAGGUGAACCUGCGGUUGGAUCAUUAAAGAAUGUAUCCGGCUUUGGCCGUUUGUCUUGUGAUUUUCUUCUUUCUUCGGAAGGGGGUUUUGAGCAAGGCAAAUCCUACCCACCUUUUGUGAACUGUGAUGUCUCUGGCAGUGGGGUUUGCUUUCGAGUAACCUGCCCAGCCGCGUUUCUGACGCUGGCCGUGGGGCAAGCUGCCAAACGCUUGUUUAACAUUAUUUCUUAUUUUUACUUGACUUACAUUAUAGUAUUUAAAUAUACAAACAACUUUUGGCAACGGAUCUCUUGGCUCUC